rnacentral:rRNA from 1 species
CCGGAGGAACGCACCGCUGGUGUACCAGUUAUCGUGCCAACGGUAAACGCUGGGUAGCUACGUGUGGAGUGGAUAACCGCUGAAAGCAUCUAAGUGGGAAGCCCACCUCAAGAUGAGUACUCUCAUGGCAUAAGCCAGUAAGGUCACGGGUAGAACACCCGUUAAUAGGCGCUAUGUGGAAGUUCAGCAAUGGAUGAAGCUGAGGCGUACUAAUAGACCGAGGGCUUGACCU